AGGACGAACGCUGGCGGCGUGCUUAACACAUGCAAGUCGAGCGGAAAGGCCCACUUGUGGGUACUCGAGCGGCGAACGGGUGAGUAACACGUGAGUAAUCUGCCCUUCACUCAGGGAUAACUUCCAGAAAUGGGUGCUAAUACCUGAUAUGACCUGUCCCUGCAUGGGGGUGGGUGGAAAGUUUUUCGGUGGGGGAUGUGCUCGCGGCCUAUCAGCUUGUUGGUGGGGUAAUGGCCUACCAAGGCUUUGACGGGUAGCCGGCCUGAGAGGGUGACCGGCCACACUGGGACUGAGACACGGCCCAGACUCCUACGGGAGGCAGCAGUGGGGAAUAUUGGACAAUGGGCGGAAGCCUGAUCCAGCAACGCCGCGUGAGGGAUGACGGCCUUCGGGUUGUAAACCUCUUUCACCAUUGACGAAGUCGCGUCCUUUUUGGGUGUGGUGACGGUAGGUGGGAAGAGCACCGGCAACUACGUGCCAGCAGCCGC
rnacentral:rRNA from 1 species